AUCUAUUCUAACUACUUUACCUAAUACAGGGACAGAUUCCACUUUUCUGUAUGUCCUGCCCCAGUCAGCAUGAGAGCCCCUGGGAGCAACAUGAAAAUUUUGAUGUCCUUUCACAAACAGAAUCAAAACCAUAGCUUUACCUCAUUUCCAAAAUGGCUGUCCAGUCUAUUCUCGAUCGCCUCUAGUAACCAGGAGCUUGCUAUUUCUUGAGGCAUUUGAAUCCAUGGUUGGAUCAUAGAAUCCUCAUGGUUGACCAGUUGCUCUUUAAAUUGGACUGAAAUUUCCUGUCUGCCUUAUUGGAUAAGGAAACAGAGCUUUCUUGGGAUGAACUUCAUAUGCUUUCAAAUUGGAAUGGAAAAGCAUAGAAUCACAGAAUAUCAGAGCAUAUAAAGGGAUUUAGAAACCACCUAUUCUAGGGACUUUAAUUUGCAGAUCCAGGAAACCCAUAUGCAAGAUACAAACUUUUGAUUGAUUGGGAAGAAAAUAGUUACUUUAGUCAGACAGGCCAGAGCACUGGGCUGAAUGGUUUUCCUUAGAGCUCAUUAAGAGGAAAGUCAUCUUGGCCUCAUGUGCACAAGGUAUCUAUUUCAGAAAUUCUUCUCCCCCAACAAGUUCUGUGGUGAUUGUGAGAGAUUGUUGCAGUAAUGACUCCUGAUUGUUCCACACUUCCCCAUAUCCAUACCCUUGGAAAGUUUCCCAUACUCUACUUUGGAUUUGGCUACAUGAUUUGCUUUGGUCAUUGUGACCAAGAAGAAACACCCAAAAUGUUUGUGCAUUGGAC
rnacentral:lncRNA from 1 species